rnacentral:lncRNA from 1 species
CAUGAACAUAAAUGAACUUACCAACAAGUGUGGAGUUUUUCUGAAAGAACAAUACGAAUCUGAUUUUAUCAUUACAGGGUGGAAGCCACAUGUGCUGUUAUUAAGUGGAAAUGUCUCGUGAACAUGUGGAAAGUGAUGACUGGAACUUCAGAUGAAAGUCAAAGCUGGAGAUAGGAGAUUCAGAAGUCACCCCACCAAAGAAGGAAUGGUUAAAGCUAUAAGAACUAAUGAGAUCCUAUUUAUUUGCUUAUUCAAUCAACAUACGUAGAACUAAAUGCUAAGAAUGUAAUGAUAAAUAAGACAGAAAGGGACCUUGCCCAUAUGGUAUUUACAAUCUACGGCCAGUUCAUAAUCUCCUAAAAAAUAAUGUAGAGAACAAUAACAGAAUCAAAGAAAUCUUGAACGUCUAUAUUUAAGGGGUUGAAUGUAAAAGAAAAGGCCUUAAAGGAGGCAGAAAAAUAGCAAUGAGAAAAGUCUGGGAAUUCUAAAACAAGACAGUAUUUCAGAGGAAGAAAACGCAGGUAAUACAUGGGCAAGUUUCACACACAGAGGUGAUGCAUCCUGGUGACCAAUAUUACAAGGAAGACAGAUGAUGACUGAGGACAGGCUGGUGGACUUGAUUUGAGGUCAACGGUAUGAGGAUAAUUUCAGCAGAGUGGUGGGAUGGAGCGAAACAGCAGCUUGUUUUCCCAAACUGUGGUGUUGCCUUGCCCUUGAGAACCCAGCUGAGGUCUAGACUGUUUCAUGGAUCACCUAAGCUUGGAGCUACAGUUGGGCUGCAAAGUUGUUCCUCUAGUGCUGAUACAAGAACAUAGCUGGUCCUCUUGUUCAUAGUGGUAAAAUAUUUUUAAAAUGUGACAUAAACACAACAUAUUAAUUACAGAAAUGAUGGAGAGAGAAUAAAGCUGGGACCCCACAAAGUCAUCUUUGCAGAGUUAUUCUGCUGACUCAAACCACACUUUAACUGAUGACAUCCUAGCAUCGAUCUGAAAUACAUUACUUUAAAAACAGAAGCUGUUUCUGAAAUAAGAUCUGCUAAAGUAAGAAGCCAGCUAGAAAAACACAGAUUUUAAGUCACUGAGGUUAUUGGUUCAAAACAGUUUACUUGGCACAUACAGAUCUUUGAGUUUUUCUAAAACUCUUUCCUGAUUUUUGGCAUUUAUUUGGCUUGGAAGGUUCUGGCGAGGCAAAUGAGAAAGGUGAGCAGAAAGGACUGGUGCAAUCAAUCAUCCUAUACCAGGCACACCCCGUGAUAUUAAAAGCUCAAUGACAUGGGACCUCACCAAUGUCUCACUAACUUAAGAGCGUUUGGGAGGCCUGGGCAAUUGUUGGCUGCGGCAUAAGCUCUCUCAGCAGGCAUCGACAGCACAAACUACCAGGCAGACUACUG